rnacentral:rRNA from 1 species
UGAGGAAAACGUCGGAAUCUGCCUAUUUGUGGGGGAUAACGUAGGGAAACUUACGCUAAUACCGCAUACGACCUACGGGUGAAAGUGGGGGACCGCAAGGCCUCACGCAGAUAGAUGAGCCGACGUCGGAUUAGCUAGUUGGCGGGGUAAAGGCCCACCAAGGCGACGAUCCGUAGCUGGUCUGAGAGGAUGAUCAGCCACACUGGAACUGAGACACGGUCCAGACUCCUACGGGAGGCAGCAGUGGGGAAUAUUGGACAAUGGGCGCAAGCCUGAUCCAGCCAUGCCGCGUGUGUGAAGAAGGCCUUCGGGUUGUAAAGCACUUUUGUCCGGAAAGAAAAGCUUAGGGUUAAUAACCUUGAGUCAUGACGGUACCGGAAGAAUAAGCACCGGCUAACUUCGUGCCAGCAGCCGCGGUAAUACGAAGGGUGCAAGCGUUACUCGGAAUUACUGGGCGUAAAGCGUGCGUAGGUGGUUUUGUUAAGUCUGAUGUGAAAGCCCUGGG